rnacentral:tRNA from 15 species
ACUUGACGAGUUGAUUAAUUGUGCUACUACAAUAUCUCUCCAUCUCUCUCAAUGCGCUCAGGCCAAAUUCUGCAAUAAGCCCUGACAC